GCGGCUAAGUUAGCGAGCUAAGCGGCUAAGUUAGCUAGCUAAGCGGCUAAGUUAGCUAGCGGGCUAAUUAGCACAGGUGGCUAACUUACCGCUGAACACCUGUGUUAGUUGCUGCUGCAGAUGUCCUCAUUAUUAGUGAACUUCUCAACCUGUAUUUCUCUGCUGUGUAUUUUAGCUUUUAAAAAAGUUAUUUUACUUUAAGGUUAACUGAAACCCGUUCAGCUGCACUGAAGUUUAACAUUCAGCUGCUUUGAAUUAAACCACGCUUAACUUAACAUUGAACAACAUUACCUCUGAAUCUCCAUAAUUUCAUUAAAUUCCUUCUCUCUUCCACUGCUCAAGUUCAAUCCAGUAUAUAAAGUGACAUUAAUAGUGAAUAAACUAACAACCAGCCAUUGUAUUUAUUUAUUAUUGCAUGUAUUUGUAGUAAAACAUGAGUUGAAACAUCCUACUUUUGGAUCUAGAACUGCACAAGCCGUUCAUUUUCAGUCACCUGACGAGUUAAACUCCCCUUUUUAUGUGAGGUUGAAGCAGAAAGUCUGAGUUAAUAAAGAAAGUUGUUCAUAAUUUGCGAUACCUGUUAUCUCUGACUGAGGCUUUAGUUUUUGUUGAGCUGAUUUACACGUAGAAACUUUAUUCAGGAAGAUUUGUCAGUAGCUCAGAGGACAGGCUGCUUUUUACACAACCUUGUAAGAGAAUGUCUGUCAAUGCUUUCAGCAGAAUUUAGAAACACAACACUUCCUAAACAGAUAUUUUGAGGCUGUGAGGUUGAACGUUUGAGAGUCUAUCAGUGUGUUUGUUUGUGGUCUUUCUGUUUCUAGGUGGAAGCUGAAUUAGUGAGGAUGACUCCUGCUCCUGUCAUCUCUAAGCUCCUCCCACAUCUUUACCUGCACAUGAGGAAAAUCACUCCUGUAGAAUGCAGUGGUUCAUCAGAACCUCUGGGGAUCCUGUGGAUUCUGUGGAUCCUGUGGGUUGCAGGGUGGGUCCUACCUAGACCAGGCUGAUCCUGGACCAUCCCACAGAUGCUCCAUCAGAUGUGGAUGUGGGGAGUGUGGAACCCAGAUGUUCAGAGGGAGAUGAUGCCACAUCUGGUCCAGCUGGUGGAAGGUGUUGAAGUUCUCUGACUGGCCUGGACUGAAGAUGGUCGUCUCACUGGAUUUAAGGUUCAGAUGCUCAGUAACAAACUCCACCAAUGAGCCAACAGGGAAGCUGUAGGUUUAUUAAAUGUUGCUAUGAAGGUUUCACUGUUUUUCUUUUUGAAUGCAAUGAGCUCCAACUGAAACUUGAAUUAGAACUUAGAAGUAAAUCCUUCCAUCUGAAAGGAUUUAGUUGCAUUAAUAACCUCAUAACAUUCUAAUUUUUAUUCCAGUCUUGGUUGGAAAUAGAAUCUCUGUAUUGAUUCAGGUAAAAACUGAACUUCACAGCAUGUUGGAGCAAAACAACCAGAUGAAAACUGUGAUGGUGUUGGAUUGUCAGACCGUAAUGUUGCAGCUCAAAGCAGCUUUUCUAUCUCAGUUUAUUCUGACAUUCAGCUAUGAAUCAACACAGCAGAUGGUGAUCCAUGCUGUGGAAGUCUCACAUCUCCUGAUUUAAUGGAGCUGCUUUGCACUUUUUACACUGUUUAUUCACCAGCACUUUAUUUAAUAAAAGUCUCAUCUAGUUUUUAUGAGGAAUGUGAUGUUUUAAUUUCUCUGUGAAUAACUGCAGUCUAAUGGAACAGCUGGAAUUGUAACAUCUGUCCUGAUCUUGAUCAUGAAGUAUUGAUCAGAAUACUUAUGGUCAGCAGUCAUCCCUGAAGUUUUACAUUAAAAUCUUUACUUGUGUUGUGAACUUUGGUAAGAAGCAGAAACUUUUGCGUUGCCAUGGAUACAUGAGUGUUAAAUUCUGUCCAUGUUUCAUUUUGGGAAAUUCAGUCCAGCAGAUGAGUUUGUUUUUACUGGCAGCUACAUUCAGUCUGAGAUAUUAAGAAUAAAUAAAUAAAUGUGCAUAAUGUGGAAAUGAACAGAUUCUAUUUUUAUUUAUUCCUACAGCGGAUGCAGGGAAAGUUCCAGAAUGUGGAGGAAUUUAGUCUCACAAUCACAGACAAUAAAUAUUAUCUGAAAGUCGGAUUAUUGUUGUUUAUCAGCACAAUACAAAAAGAUUCAUGUUAGAAAUAUUCCAGUUAAGACUCUAGAAUAUCAGGAUUUAUGUAAAUUUACCUCAAUAAUAUGAAUGUUCAGGUUAAGAUUGUACAGUGAUAUUUAUUAUGUAAGUUUAGCUGAUUAAAGUUUAUGACUCUGCACUACAAUAUUAUUUAUUAUUUACAUUUACAUCAUUAUUAUAAUAUUUAGGGUCAGACUCUACAGUAUUGAGAUUAAGAAAUCAAAUAUUCUAUAAAAUGUAAAUACACUGAACUAAUCUGGAUAUAUUUAAGUGAGACUCUACAAUAUUAUUUGACACAAAUCUAUCUAAAUCAACAUUUUAAUCAUUUUUACUCCAAACAUUUACUGGACUGAUUUAAACAUUAAAAUCACUCCUUUCUAAUCCUCUGCUGUACGUUCAAACCUGAGGCCUUAAAUAGAAACACACAAGUAUCUGAUUGAAGGAACUUCUGCAGAGUCCUGGUUCCAGAACAUGAUGAUAGAAUUAUAGACAAACUUUAACAAAAGCUGCCUGAGAGUUUACAGGUUUUUAUGUUGGAUUUCUUCAGUAAUUUAAUGAGAGUUAUCAGCAAAAAUCAAGUGUUCAUUUGAUGAACUUCAUUUCCUAAAACAUCCAGAAUUGGAGCUCAUAUCUUUGGCAGCUGUAAAGUUUCUGCUCCUUCAAAGUUCACAACACAAUGAAUGAAUUCCUAAAACACUCUCAAUGCUGGAGAGCGUUUGAUGCUGAAGCAGUGAGCAGUUUUUCUGUUUCUUCUCUGGAGAUGCACAAUGAGGGACGUCUGCAGAGACUGAGAAAGAGUCUCACCACAUCCUGACAUGAGGAAAAAGACUUUAUUGAAGACUACAAUGAGAAAAACUAUCAGACAGCAGACGGCUGCAUUCAAGGUGAGCUCUGAACAUUUGAUCUGGAACAGGAAUUCAAUAACGGCAGCAUGAGCUUCAUUUCAGUCUGUAGCUGCUGAAUUCAUGGAUGAAUCAUCUGGCACUAGAGAGGAAGACCAUCAAACAUCCACGUCAGCUGAUGGAGGCCAGUCGCUGUGGUUCAAAGCCAACACUGACUACGUGGACUUCUACUGGACCACACGGAGGCCUUCAAACCGGACCAACAAGUUCAGUGACUCCCCGACUCGUGGGUCUGAGGACGCCGCCGAGCCUCGGUCCAGCCGGCCUCCUGUCUGUGGGUGUUUGAGUGCUGAGAGGUUUGUGGAUGCAUGUGAACGUUCUGUGUUGAAACUGCAGCUUUGGACUCAGUAACGCCGGGAAAAACCAAGAGCUCCUUUAUUUGUGACUUCCACUAAAAAAACUGAUGAAAAUGAGUUUGUCAGGGUUCUGACUGAUAACAGAUUAUUAAAUAAUGAAAACAGUUUAAAUAUUCUUUUAAACAAUCCUUUUAGGUCUACAUUUCCUUUACACUGACUUCUUGGUAAAUGUACAAGUAUUUUGGGUGGAAUAUACCAAUAAGCCCAAUGUUCAAGGGUUCUUCUGGGAAUAUACCAUUCAACCAACCUUUUAGGUAAAUGUUCCAGGAUGUUGGGUAGAAUAUACCAUCAGAUCAACCUUUUAGGUCUACAUUGGAAGAUUUUAGAGUAGAAUAUUACUCCAAACCAUCCUUUAGGUCUACAUUUAAGGUGGAAUACUCCUUUACACCAAGAUUUUUUGGUCUACAUUGAAGGAUUUUAGGUGGAAUAUUCCUUUGAACAAAGUUUUUAAGUUUAUGUUCCAGGAUGUUGGGUGGAAUGUACCAUCAGACCAACCUCCAAGGUCUACAGUAGUGAAUUUUAGGUGGAAUAUACCAUUAAACUCACCUUUUAGGUCCACAUUGGAGGAUUUUAGGUAGAAUUUUCUUCCAAACCAUCUUUUAGUCUACAUUUAAGGAUGUUUAGGAUGGUAUAUUCUUCCAAACCAACUUCUCAGGUCUACAUUUCAGGUGGAAUAUUCCUCCAUACUAACUUUUUUGGUCUACAUUGAAGGAUUUUUUUCUAAACCACCCUUUCAGGUCUAUAUUUGAGGUUUUAGAUGGAAUAUUCCUUUUAACCAGCCCCUCAGGUAUCUUUGAGGAUUUUGGAUGGAAUACUUGGUUAAACCAACAUUUUAGGUGCAUUUCCAAGGAUUUUUAGUGGAAUGUUCCUUUAAGGUGGAUGUGUGAGGACCUUGUAGGGGGAAUACUUCCUGAAACCAACCUUUUAGGGCAACAUUCAACGAUUUAAGGUGGAAUAUUCCUUUAAACCAACCUAAAUUUCAUGUUUUGAUCAUUAUCUAGUGAGAAACCUCAAUCCAGACUCCUCAUAAUGACGUCUGAGAUUUAUGCUGCUGUUAUUUGUUUAGUCCAGACUAAAUGACAGAAAUCUACAACUGCAAUUUUAUUUCAGGACUCAGUUAUUAAAUGUCAAAACAAUCCAUGUGACUGUAAAAACUCAACAGCUUUACAAACUCUAAGAUUAAACUCUCCACAAGGAUCCAAAAUAAGUUGGACUUCUACAUGAGAGCUUUAAUUAUUCUUCAUCUACUUCCUGAAAAGUUUGGUCAAUAAAGACAAAAACCGAUAUUUUCAGCUGAAUUAAAGACAAACUUUGUGAUUUUUCUGCUCACAUGUUGUGUUGUUGUAAACUUCCUCUUUCAAAUAAAUAUCCUCCUAACCCCCUGGAAA